rnacentral:rRNA from 1 species
GACGAACGCUGGCGGCGUGCCUAAUACAUGCAAGUAGAACGCUGAAGCUUGGUGCUUGCACCGAGCGGAUGAGUUGCGAACGGGUGAGUAACGCGUAGGUAACCUGCCUGGUAGCGGGGGAUAACUAUUGGAAACGAUAGCUAAUACCGCAUAAGAGUAGAUGUUGCAUGACAUUUGCUUAAAAGGUGCAAUUGCAUCACUACCAGAUGGACCUGCGUUGUAUUAGCUAGUUGGUGAGGUAACGGCUCACCAAGGCAACGAUACAUAGCCGACCUGAGAGGGUGAUCGGCCAAACUGGGACUGAGACACGGCCCAGACUCCUACGGGAGGCAGCAGUAGGGAAUCUUCGGCAAUGGACGGAAGUCUGACCGAGCAACGCCGCGUGAGUGAAGAAGGGUGUCGGAUCGUAAAGCUCUGUUGUAAGAGAAGAACGAGUGUGAGAGUGGAAAGUUCACACUGUGACGGUAUCUUACCAGAAAGGGACGGCUAACUACGUG